GAUGAAGAACGCAGCGAAAUGCGAUAAGUAAUGUGAAUUGCAGAAUUCAGUGAAUCAUCGAAUCUUUGAACGCACAUUGCGCCCCGUGGUAUUCCGAGGGGCAUGCCUGUUCGAGCGUCAUUAUAACCCCUCAAGCUCAGCUUGGUGUUGGGGCCUGCCGCACGGGCAGCCCUUAAAAUCAGUGGCGGUGCCAUCUGGCUCUAAGCGUAGUAAUUCUUCUCGCUAUAGAGUCACGGUGGAUGCUUGCCAUUAACCCCCAAUUUUCAAUGGUUGACCUCGGAUCAGGUAGGGAUACCCGCUGAACUUAAGCAUAUCAAUAAGCGGAGGA
rnacentral:misc_RNA from 1 species